rnacentral:tRNA from 1 species
AUUUUAUUAAUAUAAAUAUAGUAUAUUUGAUUUCCAAUCAAAAAGUUUAAUUUACAAAUAAAAUA